rnacentral:rRNA from 1 species
CCCUUAGAUGUUCUGGGCCGCACGCGCGCUACACUGAUGCAUUCAACGAGCCUAUCCUUGACCGACAGGUCCGGGUAAUCUUUGAAUCUGCAUCGUGACGGGGAUAGAUUAUUGCAAUUAUUAAUCUUCAACGAGGAAUGCCUAGUAGGCGCAAGUCAUCAGCUUGCGUCGAUUACGUCCCUGCCCUUUGUACACACCGCCCGUCGCUCCUACCGAUUUUGAGUGGUCCGGUGAACCUUCUGGAUUGUGCGGCUUGCCGCGCGAGAAGUUAUGUAAACCUUAUCACUUAGAGGAAGGAGAAGUCGUAACA